rnacentral:tRNA from 1 species
GCGCCCGUGGCUCAAUGGAUAGAGCAGUGGACUUCUAAUCCACCGGUUGUAGGUUCGAUUCCUACCGGGCGUGCCA